AGUGAACGCUGGCGGUAGGCCUAACACAUGCAAGUCGAACGGCCGCACAGUAAGAGCUUGCUCUUACGGGUGGCGAGUGGCGGACGGGUGAGGAAUACAUCGGAAUCUACUUUUUCGUGGGGGAUAACGUAGGGAAAAUUACGCUAAUACCGCAUACGACCUACGGGUGAAAGCAGGGGAUCUUCGGACCUUGCGCGGUUGAAUGAGCCGAUGUCGGAUUAGCUAGUUGGCGGGGUAAAGGCCCACCAAGGCGACGAUCCGUAGCUGGUACGAGAGGAUGGUCAGGCACCCUGGAACUGAGGAACGGUCCAGACUCCUACGGGAGGCAGCAGUGGGGAAUAUUGGGCAAUGGGCGCAAGCCUGAUCCAGCCAUACCGCGUGGGGGAAGAAGGACUUCGGGUUGGAGAGCCCUUUUGUUGGGAAAGAAAAGCAGCAGGUUAAUACCCCGCUGUUCUGACGGUACCCAAAGAAUAAGCACCGGCUAACUUCGUG
rnacentral:rRNA from 1 species